AGAACGAACGCUGGCGGCAGGCUUAACACAUGCAAGUCGAACGCAUCUCUUCGGAGAUGAGUGGCAGACGGGUGAGUAACGCGUGGGAACGUACCCUUUGGUUCGGGAUAACCCGGGGGAAACUCGGGCUAAUACCGGAUAAGCCGGAAACGGGAAAGGUUUACUGCCGAAGGAUCGGCCCGCGUCGGAUUAGCUAGUUGGUGUGGUAACGGCGCACCAAGGCGACGAUCCGUAGCUGGUCUGAGAGGAUGAUCAGCCACACUGGGACUGAGACACGGCCCAGACUCCUACGGGAGGCAGCAGUGGGGAAUAUUGGACAAUGGGCGCAAGCCUGAUCCAGCCAUGCCGCGUGAGUGAUGAAGGCCCUAGGGUUGUAAAGCUCUUUUGUGCGGGAAGAUAAUGACGGUACCGCAAGAAUAAGCCCCGGCUAACUUCGUGCCAGCAGCCGC
rnacentral:rRNA from 1 species